UACAGGGGGUGCAAACGUUGCUCGGAAUUAUUGGGCGUAAAGCGCGCGUAGGCGGCUACUUAAGUCGGAUGUGAAAGCCCCUGGCUCAACUGGGGAAGUGCACCCGAAACUGAGUAGCUAGAGUGCAAAAGAGGGUCGCGGAAUUCCCGGUGUAGAGGUGAAAUUCGUAGAUAUCGGGAGGAAUACCAGUGGCGAAGGCGGCUGCCUGGCCUGUUCUUGACGCUGAGGCGCGAAAGCUGGGGGAGCAAACGGG
rnacentral:rRNA from 1 species